GAUUUAGUUUAGUGGCGGACGGGUGAGUAACGCGUGAGUAACCUGCCUUCAAGAGGGGGAUAACAUUCUGAAAAGAAUGCUAAUACCGCAUAAUAUAUUGGAAUCACAUGAUUUUGAUAUCAAAGAUUUUAUCGCUUGAAGAUGGACUCGCGUCCGAUUAGUUAGUUGGUGAGGUAACGGCUCACCAAGACCGCGAUCGGUAGCCGGACUGAGAGGUUGAACGGCCACAUUGGGACUGAGACACGGCCCAGACUCCUACGGGAGGCAGCAGUGGGGGAUAUUGCGCAAUGGGGGCAACCCUGACGCAGCAACGCCGCGUGAAGGAUGAAGGUUUUCGGAUUGUAAACUUCUUUUAUUAAGGACGAAACUUGACGGUACUUAAUGAAUAAGCUCCGGCUAACUACGUGCCAGCAGCCGCGGUAAUACGUAGGGAGCAAGCGUUGUCCGGAUUUACUGGGUGUAAAGGGUGCGUAGGCGGCUUUGCAAGUCAGAUGUGAAAUCUAUGGGCUCAACCCAUAAACUGCAUUUGAAACUGUAGAGCUUGAGUGAAGUAGAGGCAGGCGGAAUUCCCCGUGUAGCGGUGAAAUGCGUAGAGAUGGGGAGGAACACCAGUGGCGAAGGCGGCCUGCUGGGCUUUAACUGACGCUGAGGCACGAAAGCGUGGGUAGCAAACAGGAUUAGAUACCCUGGUAGUCCACGC
rnacentral:rRNA from 1 species